CCUGAUGCAGUAACAUUACAUCACAAAAGUUAGCUUAGUGGUUAGCACGUUUGCCUCACACCUCCAGGGUUGGGGGUUCGAUUCCCACCGUGGCCCUGUGUGUGUGGAGUUUGCAUGUUCUGCCCGUGCUGUGGGGGUUUCCUCCGGUUUCCUCCCCCAGUCCAAAGACAUGCUGAAUGGCAUGUCCAAAAGUGUCCAUAGUGUAUGAAUGUGUAUGUGAGUGUUGGAUUGGCACCCUGUCCAGGGUGUACCCUGCUUUGUGUCCGAUUCUCCCUGGGAUAGGCUCCAGGUUCCCCCGUGACCCUGAAGAAGGAGUAAGCGGUAGAAGCUGGAUGAAUGGAUGAUGCAGCAGUAGACCAUAAGCACAUCAUAAUGAAACUAAAGCCAAAUCCUGGACAUUUUCUCAAAUUGCUUUGGAGGUUUUUGUAAGGUCAGCCUAACAAAAGCAUUUCAGAGAACAUCCAUCCAUCCAUCCAUCUUCCAUACCGCUUAUCCUUUUCAGGAUUUCAAAUUUAUUUGCGCAUGCACCAGGAGGUUGCUCAUGUGAGCCACGACUGGCAAGAGAUAACCAGAACUAUAAUCAAGCAGCUGUCUAUAUUCUGUUAUGUCAAAAGAUUAAUUUCUUUGGCUUUAAAUGAAAAGAAAAUGAAUCCUGUUAGCAUUCCCAUUUUUUACUAAAUGUACCAAUAAUCCGAGUAAUUUAGUUUUUUGACGUAACUGUAACAGAUUACAGUUAACAGUUUUUUUUUGUAUCCUGAUUACGUAACGCUGUUACAUGCAUUCCAUAUCUCCGUAUGUUGUGUAUCCGUAUAUAGUGUACACAAGUUGGGGUACUGGAAAGGACCCCAGCUCACUACACAUUGGGACACUGAUAACUCAAUUUCCGUUGACAUGACUACAUACCUGCAUUGUAUAACCACACCAAAAAAUUCUACUUUAAAAUGUUUAAUUUUUAUGUGUCAUAUUAAUUUGUUCACUUAAUCACACAUGUUUCUGUCAUGGUACUUUAAGCAGAAUCGUAGGUGUCACGAUCUCGCCGGAAGAGGUCACUGUGGAGACAACGUGCACGUGCUCGAAGAGCGCAUGGACGCUAAGACUGUUUCCUAUGGACACACGUCUUUUGUUUUGGUUUUGUUCACUUCCAGCUCGGGUAUUGGUCGAUGUUCGAGGGUGCGUCAUGAUUGGUCCCAGCUGUCUGUAUUAAGCCUUAGAGGACUUUCUUCCUCAGUCACGUGACGUUUUCGCCUCCGUCUGAUGGUACCUGAGGUCAUGUUGGGAAUAAAAGGUAACGCUGACAGAAAGUAAACUGAAGAAAGUCAUUGUCAGUGAAUCUAGGUGUGUGCUAAUGCUAGCGUGCGUAUGACGUCAUGCGCCGUCGCCUAGAAGCGGCUUAUAGUUCCGGUUAGUAAAAAAAAACAACGCUAGUGAUAUAUUUGAGAUGAUAUUACCUUUCUAAAAUCCACACACUAGACGGUAGCGUGCACAGUGCACGUAAUGAGUAAGUCUCCCCCGUGCAGCGUGCAGACCAACUGAUCCAUAAUGAGUUUCAGUGACUUCUUCUUCUUCUUCUUCUUUUUGUUUUAAUGGCGGUUGGCAAACCACUAAAGGUACAUUACCGCCACCUACUGGACUGGAGUGUGGGCAGUAGUUUGGCAGGGGAAAAAAAAAAAAAAAAACUAAUAAUAAUAAUACCAAAACAAUAAUACAUAAAUAAAAGAAAAUAAAGAGAUAAAUAACUAUAUACUAGAUAUUCCUACUAGAUUACUAAAGUCUCUCAUGCUUCGUUGACAGCGAUUUUCAUUAUAGAUUAGUUGUUGCAGCUUUAAUAGAAAUAUUAUAUAUUGAUUAUUUUUUCCACUUUUACUGACUUCGACUUUUUACCAGCAUCAGUUCUGAUCAUAAUUACCAAACAUUUAUUCGUUUUCAGAAUUUUAACCCUUUAAACACCAGUUUCUUUACAUAAUGCAAACAUCCUCCAAGCUCAGGAAGCUUCUUUGACUCUCAUACAUGAGUUGGGAUUUGUGAUUUCCAGUACAAUAUCAUGUCUUUCUUUCAAACUGUUCACACACACACACACACACACACACACACACACACACUUUUCAGUACACACAUACAAACCACAACUCUGAUGUGAACGCACAUAUACAUACACACAGACGAUUAUAGCUACAUCAUUGAUUCAGUUGGUCUGCAGUGCUCUAUAAAACAGCAGAAUCAGAAAAAAAAAAGGGAAAACAUGUAUUUUCUCUAUAGGCUAAACCUGAGAAAAUUAGUUUAAAAAAAAUCACUGUCAACAAAAUAAAAGCCUAUUAAUGCAGAAUGCA
ensembl:lncRNA